rnacentral:lncRNA from 1 species
UUCAGGGUAGCUUGUCACGCACUGAAAAGCUAGAAUUGGGUUAAAGCAGUGAAAGGCUAGAAGAUUUUUGAGCUAAUCUUUGUUGGAUGAUGGUUUUUGUUGUAUAGUAAACUUUACUUCUGAUGUAAUGUUAAGGAUCUAUUGAUACUUAUGUGUUGUAAAAUGUCAAAGGACCGCUCAUGUGUUUGGAAUGAUAAGUUUAAGAUGUGUAAGGAUAAGAACUCAUGGUAAAUAAUUAUCUUUUUGUGAUUGUAUAUACUUCUAUGAUUAUGGAUUUGUGGUGUGGUUGAUGUUUAGUUGAG